rnacentral:rRNA from 1 species
UGGGGAAUUUUGGACAAUGGGGGCAACCCUGAUCCAGCCAUUCCGCGUGAGUGAAGAAGGCCUUCGGGUUGUAAAGCUCUUUUGUCCGGAGCGAAACGGCGCAGGUGAAUAUCCUGCGCUACUGACGGUACCGGAAGAAUAAGCACCGGCUAACUACGUGCCAGCAGCCGCGGUAAUACGUAGGGUGCAAGCGUUAAUCGGAAUUACUGGGCGUAAAGCGUGCGCAGGCGGUUUUGUAAGCCAGAUGUGAAAUCCCCGGGCUUAACCUGGGAAUGGCAUUUGGGACUGCAAGGCUUGAGUAUGGCAGAGGGGACUAGAAUUCCUGGUGUAGCAGUGAAAUGCGUAGAGAUCAGGAGGAAUACCGAUGGCGAAGGCAGGUCCCUGGGUUAAUACUGACGCU